UUAUUGGAGAGUUUGAUCCUGGCUCAGGACGAACGCUGGCGGCAUGCCUAAUACAUGCAAGUCGAGCGGACUUGAUGAGAAGCUUGCUUCUCUGAUAGUUAGCGGCGGACGGGUGAGUAACACGUAGGUAACCUGCCCUCAAGUUUGGGACAACUACCGGAAACGGUAGCUAAUACCGAAUAAUUGUUUUCUUCGCCUGAAGAGAACUGGAAAGACGGAGCAA
rnacentral:rRNA from 1 species